GAUGAACGCUGGCGGCGUGCCUAACACAUGCAAGUCGAACGGAAAGGCCCUGCUUUUGCGGGGUUCUCGAGUGGCGAACGGGUGAGUAACACGGGAGUAACCCGCCCUUGACUUUGGGAUAUCUUCAGGAAACUGGGGCUAAUACCGGAUAGGAGCUCCUGCUGCAUGGUGGGGGUUGGAAAGUUUCGGAGGUUGGGGAUGGACUCGGGGCUUACGAGCUGGUUGGUGGGGUAAUGGCUUACCAAGCCUUCGACGGGUAGCCGGCCUGAGAGGGUGAUCGGUCACACUGGAACUGAGACAGGGUCCAGAAGACUACGGGAGGAAGCAGUAGGGAAUGGGGGGCAAGGGGCGAAAGCCUGAUGGAGCAAUGCCGCGUGAGUGAAGAAGGUCUUCGGAUCGGAAAGCUCUGUAAGUAGGGAAGAAGAAAAGUGAGAGGAAACAUGGCCGUCGUGACGUUACCAACUGAGAAAGCAACGGCUAACUACGUG
rnacentral:rRNA from 1 species